UGGGGAAUAUUGCACAAUGGGGGAAACCCUGAUGCAGCGACGCCGCGUGAACGAAGAAGGUAUUCGUAUCGUAAAGUUCUGUCCUAUGGGAAGAUAAUGACAGUACCAUAGAAGAAAGCUCCGGCUAAAUACGUGCCAGCAGCCGCGGUAAUACGUAUGGAGCGAGCGUUGUCCGGAAUUAUUGGGCGUAAAGGGUACGCAGGCGGUUUAAUAAGUCGAAUGUUAAAGAUCGGGGCUCAACCCCGUAAAGCAUUGGAAACUGAUAAACUUGAGUAGUGGAGAGGAAAGUGGAAUUCCUCGUGUAGUGGUGAAAUACGUAGAUAUUAGGAGGAAUACCAGUAGCGAAGGCGACUUUCUGGACACAAACUGACGCUGAGGUACGAAAGCGUGGGGAGCAAACAGG
rnacentral:rRNA from 1 species